rnacentral:rRNA from 1 species
UACGUAGGGUGCGAGCGUUAAUCGGAAUUACUGGGCGUAAAGCGUGCGCAGGCGGUUUUGCAAGCCGGAUGUGAAAUCCCCGGGCUUAACCUGGGAAUGGCAUUUGGGACUGCAAGGCUGGAGUGCGGCAGAGGAGACUGGAAUUCCCGGUGUAGCAGUGAAAUGCGUAGAUAUCGGGAGGAAUACCGAUGGCGAAGGCAGGUCUCUGGGCUGACACUGACGCUCAUGCACAAAGCGUGGGGAGCAAACAGG